AGAAAUUUAGGUUAAAUAAAACCAGGAGCCUUCAAAGCCCCAGACAAGAGAACACUCUUAAUUUCUG
rnacentral:tRNA from 1 species